GAAAGGCCACACACAGUCGCACUCGACAGCCGCCACCACCACCACCUGGUCCACGUCGCCGGCGGCAAUGUGGGCGCAACUGGCCGUCGCGCUGUUCGUGGCGUUAGCCGUGGCUCCCCCGGCCCGUGGCUCCGACGUGCCUUCGUUCCCGCUGUCGCAGGCGCAGUCCCCAUCCAACUCCUCGUCCCCGUCCAACGCCGCCUCGCGGCCGUGCCACCUGGACCUCUCGGCCGAGCUCUUCGGUGGGGUAGCCGCGGCGUGCGGCGCCGGCGGGGGGCCGGGCUCGCUGGACCGCGGCCGCUGCUGCCCGGUCCUGGCGGCCUGGCUCUUCGCGGCGCACGCGCGCACCGCGCUGUCCGUGCCCCCGGCGCCUCCGCCCUCGGCGCUAGUGGGGGACGAGGGAAUGGGGCCCGACGGCGACGACGACGGGCCCAUGGUGCCGUACGACAACCAGAGGUGUGUCGACACGCUGGGCGCAGCGCUGGAGCGGCGCGGGGUGGCGCUGCCCCGGCCCAACGCGACGUGCGACACGGUGCUCUGCUUCUGCGGCAUCCGGCUCCACCAGAUCGGCUCGCUCCGCUGCCCCGCCGCGUUCGCCGUCAAAACUGGCGCCGCGGCCAGGAACGCCACGCCCACCGCCGCGGUGAAGGCCCUGGAGAAGAGCUGCCGCAACGCCUCCUACGCCGGCUGCUCGCGAUGCGUGCAGUCCCUGCAAAAGCAACCAUGGGAAAGGGCAAUCCCGCCAGGUAACCACCGGAUAGGACCAUUCCUUGAAAGCUUGAACACGCAUUUGUGGGGACAAACCUCCUUCUUUCGAGCAAGGGCAAAGGCGGGGUAUUCGCCUUCGUAUUCGCCUUCGGCAUUGCCCCCCGCCUUUGGCUCCGGGAAGCUGAUCAUGGAGGGCUCCCUGGGCUUCUUCGAAAAAAGAGAAGCUGACAGUGUCCAGAUGCAGAACGUGCUGUCCAUCAGGAAUCCUAAACCUCCUGAUAGAGAAGCCUGCAGCAGCGUCAGUCCCGGUGCUGCGACAGCUACUUGUGGCUCAAGGAGAAGACGAUCUUUUUAAAGAUUUUCAUGUUCUUUAGCUUUUAUCCUCUACUAGGUAAAUACCCAGGAGAACAAGUACUUGGCAUUAACCUGAGGGUUUAUCUUGUCAAGCUGCAAAACGAUCUCACCCAAGAACUUGUACCCAGAACCAUCUUUCGCGUGGAAGUUCACAGGUCGAAAGCAGGGUGAGACAGCAGCUUCUGAACAUUUGCAACAUUUCCAGGAAUCUCUGAAGUAGCUUGAAGAGCAAACAACUUGCUUACAACCUAUCAGAGUAAAACAAAGAAACAACAGAAAUCCAAGAGGGCAUCAUCACGAACUUGGCCUGGAUUUUGGGAUAAUGCUGCUAAUGCAGCAAACUGCUCUGUCAUGUUAGUCGCAGACUUGUACUCAUGCAGUGCAAGCUCAACGAAAUCUGGCUCAUUCAAUGACGCAAGGAUGCUUAGUGGGCCAACUGUAGGGAUCUUUCCUUCUACAUACAACAUGUGGGACUCGCUUUUUGGUAAGUCAAUUAUCUGUUAAUUCUUCUAUUUCUGAAUCCU